CUUCCUUGUCAUGUUCUGAGUCUCUUUUUGUUGUUUUCCUUGUUUUCCCAUUUCUAUGUGUUCUCUGUCUUCAUGCUCUGUUCCACGUUUUCUAUUUCUACCUGUUACAUGUCUCCGCCCCCCCACACCAUGUAUGUAUUUCCCCUAGUAAUCGUCUCACCUGUUUCUCGUGUGGCUUAUAAGACUGCCUGUUUCGUUGUUCUGGGCUAGUUCGUUAUGUCUCUUGCUUCUAUGCUUGGUCAUUUCAGUGGUUUCUAAUAUACAGUCCCCUCCAAAAGUAUUGGAACAGCAAGGCCAAUUCCUUUGUUUUUGCUAUUUUUAUCUUGAUUUGUUAAACAACCUAAUACACUGAGUGCAUUUGGGGUUGAGAUAAAAAGAUGAACACAGGACAAGUUCCGAAUUUCAGAAAAGAUAAACUACUUAGAACAUAGCACCUUUGGUAUCAGACCGCCCAAUUUUUAGGUGAUCAAAAGUAUUGGAACAGAGAGUACAAAAGGUGAUAUGUUCUAAGUUGUUUAACAAAUCUAAAUAAUAAUACCAGGACCUCAAACUCAAUUGUGUUCAGUGUAUAGCAAAAACAAAGGGAAUUGACCUUGCUGUUCCAAUACUUUUGGAGGGGACUGUAUUCUCUUCAACUAUCUUCUCAAAAUUGUCACUUUCCGUGCCCUUUUCCAUUAUUCCUAUCAUCUCUUCUUUUCCCUGUUUUAUGUAUUCCUUAGUUCCAUGUUCAUGUCUUCCUUGUCAUGUUCUGAGUCUCUAUUAGUUGUUUUCCUUGUUUUCCCAUUUCUAUGUGUUCUGUCUUCAUGCUCUGUUCCAUGUUUUCUAUUUCUACCUGUUACAUAUCUCGCCCCCCCACACCAUGUAUGUAUUUCCUCUAGUAAUCGUCUCACCUGUUUCUCAUGUGGCUUAUACGACUGCCUGUUUCGUUGUUCUGGGCUAGUUCGUUUUGUCUCCUGCUUUUAUGCUUGGUCGUUUCAGUGGUUUCUAAUAUACAGUCCCCUCCAAAAGUAUUGGAACAGCAAGGCCAAUUCCUUUGUUUUUGCUAUUUUUAUCUAGAUUUGUUAAACAACUGAAUACACUGAGUGUAUUUGGGGUUGAGAUAAAAAAAGAUCUUGUGGGAGAAUGAGCUUAUUAAAAAACAAAAGAAGGUGGACAAAGAGAGAGACGUCAACAAGAGGCAGCAGAUUGAACAGCAAUAUGAAAAGGAGAUUGAGUUAAAGAGGCAAAAAGACCAUGAACAGAAGACCAACGUUCAGAGAGGUUACACUGAGCAGAUCUUGGCCAAGAAAGCCAUGGGAGCUAAAGAAGCAAAACAAAAAGAAAUGGAGGAGAAGUGCCGGAGGACAAUUGUAAUGGAAAAAGACAACUGGAAUGCAAUGGGCAGAGUUCAAGUCGAUAGGAACAAUGAGCUGCAGUGGCGCAAGGAUAUUGUGGCACAGAAGUUGGCUUUGAAGAUGCAGGAGACCAAGCAAAAACAGGAGCAGUAUGCUGCCAAUGUUCUGGCUGCAGCCCAGGCCAAGGAGAAUGCGCGGUGGGAGCAGACUCUACAUGAGAAGAACGAAAAAGGGAAGGCCAUGAGGGAUGCCAUCGCAGCUCACCGGGAACACCAGCAGAUCAAAAUGGAGGAGCAACAGAGGGCCUUGUCCACACACCAAGCGUUGAGAGAGGAAAACAAAAUAUACUGGGAAAAUGAAGAAAUGUUGGCACAGAAAAAAACGGAGGAACCUCGCUUUUUGGGCGAGAUCAUGAGGAUCUCCAGUCCACAAAAUUCAGACUCGGAUUUGCAUGAUGAAGGAUUCAAGCGGAUGCAGGAUUUGACGGGAGGAUUGAGAACAGACUACUUGGUUCCUGGCGCCACCAAUGCCAAAAUUCCAGAUUAUACCAGAAGCGUGACGCAGGAUGUUCCAAGAUUUUACAGAGAUCAUGAGGAUCUCCAGUCCACAAAAUUCAGACUAGGAUUUGCAUGAUGAAGGAAUCAAGCGGAUGCAGGAUUUGACGGGAGGAUUGAGAACAGACUACUUGGUUCCUGGCGCCACCAAUGCCAAAAUUCCAGAUUAUACCAGAAGCGUGACGCAGGAUGUUCCAAGAUUUUACAGAGAUCAUGAGGAUCUCCAGUCCACAAAAUUCAGACUAGGAUUUGCAUGAUGAAGGAUUCAAGCGGAUGCAGGAUUUGACGGGAGGAUUGAGAACAGACUACUUGGUUCCUGGCGCCACCAAUGCCAAAAUUCCAGAUUAUACCAGAAGCGUGACGCAGGAUGUUCCAAGAUUUUACAGAGAUCAUGAGGAUCUCCAGUCCACAAAAUUCAGACUAGGAUUUGCAUGAUGAAGGAUUCAAGCGGAUGCAGGAUUUGACGGGAGGAUUGAGAACAGACUACUUGGUUCCUGGCGCCACCAAUGCCAAAAUUCCAGAUUAUACCAGAAGCGUGACGCAGGAUGUUCCAAGAUUUUACAGAGAUCAUGAGGAUCUCCAGUCCACAAACUUCAGACUAGGAUUUGCAUGAUGAAGGAUUCAAGCGGAUGCAGAAAAUGACAGAGAGGAAGGAGAAGACAGACAAGCAGAUGUUUAAGUGGUUUCUAAUAUACUGUCCCCUCCUAAAGUAUUGGAACAGCAAAUCCAAUUCCUUAAUACACUGAGUGUAUUUGGGGUUGAGAUAAAAAGAUGAACACAAGACGAGUUCUGAAUUUCAGAAUAGAUAAACUACUGAGAACAUAGCACCUUUGGUAUCAGACAACCCAAUUUUUAGGCAAAAGUAUUGGAACAGAGAGUACAAAAGGUGAUAUGUUCUAAGUUGUUUCACAAAUCUAGAUAAAAAUACCAGGACCUCAAACUCAAUUGUAUACUCAGUGUAUAGCAAAAACAAAGGGAAUUGACCUUGAUGUUCCAAUACUUUUGGAGGGGACUGUAUUCUCUUCAACUAUCUUCUCAAAAUUGUCACUUUCCGUGCCCUUUUCCAUUAUUCCUAUCAUCUCUUCUUUUCCCUGUUUUAUGUAUUCCUUAGUUCCAUGUUCAUGUCUUCCUUGUCACGUUCUGAGUCUCUAUUAGUUGUUUUCCUUGUUUUCACAUUUCUAUGUGUUCCCUGUCUUCAUGCUCUGUUCCACGUUUUCUAUUUCUACCUGUUACAUGUCCCCCCCCCCCCCACACCAUGUUUGUAUUUCCUCUAGUAAUCGUCUUACCUGUUUCUCGUGUGGCUUAUAAGACUGCCUGUUUUGUUGUUCUGGGCUAGUUCGUUAUGUCUCUUGCUUUUAUGCUUGGUCAUUUCAGUGGUUUCUAAUAUACAGUCCCCUCCAAAAGUAUUGGAACAGCAAGGCCAAUUCCUUUGUUUUUGCUAUUUUUGUCUAGAUUUGUUAAACAAUUUAAUACACUGAAUAUAUUUGGGGUUGAGAUAAAAAAAGAUGAACACAAGACGAGUUCCGAAUUUCAGAAUAGAUAAACUACUGAGAACAUUGCACCUUUGGUAUCAGACAACCCAAUUUUUAGGCCAAAGUAUUGGAACAGAGAGUACAAAAGGUGAUAUGUUCUAAGUUGUUUCACAAAUCUAGAUAAAAAUACCAGGACCUCAAACUCAAUUGUGUUCAGUGCAUAGCAAAAAACAAAGGGAAUUGACCUUGCUGUUCCAAUACUUUUUGAGGGGACUGUAUUCUCUUCAACUAUCUUCUCAAAAUUGUCAAUUUCCAUGCCCUUUUCCAUUAUUCCUAUCAUCUCUUCUUUUCCGUUUCUUUCUUAGUUCCAUGUUCAUGUCUUCCUUGUCAUGUCCUGCAUCUCUCUUAGUUCUGUUUGACCUUUUCCCCAUUUCUAUGUGUCUGUGUAUAACCCUGCCUAUUUCGUUCUUCUGAGAUACUUUCUUUUGGUUCUUGCUUCUGAGCCCCUCCACGCUUCCCUGUCCUGCACGUUUUUGUUUCUGGUCCUGCCACCUGCCGGCUCCACCGACCUACCCCGGAUGCGACCCUCGCUCACCCUGGACCUCAUCCUCCGCCCGGACCGAUCCUCCAGCAUCCUUCUUCGCUCCGCCUGCCUUUCGACAUCUACCUGCCUGAUCCCCUGUUCACUUGGAUCCUGACCCAUUGCCCUGGACUUUACCACAAACUCUUUAUUA